CGGGAGGUGGUUUUUCCCCGAAGCCGGAAUGCGACGCACAGGCUACCUUUUUUUUAAAAAAAAAAAGAAGGAACCGACUAAGGACGAUCCCGCCCGUUCUUCUGAUUGGCUUGGAGAGGGAAGCGAUAGGCGGGAGGAAUAGGGAGUGUUUAUAGUGAACUGCAAGGUGAUUGCAGAAGGUGGCUGUCCGUCAAAGGCGCCGCUGGUGCGGGGCUGGGUUUCUGGCCCCUAAGGGUGAUUGCAGACCUAGAGAUUGGCUUCGCUGCAGCUGUGGGCAGUGCAGCUGCCUGUGGGUUUCUCUCCUGUUCUCAUCUCCGCCAGGACCUGGGCGCGCCCUCUCCUCCGCCACUGGCAACUAGGGUUUUUGCGCAUAGCCUUUAUUUCACCAGUUCCUCCUGGGAUCUUACCUGACAACCUGAAGUAAUGACCCUGUCAGGCACCCCCCGACACCCCGGCCGCUCCCCGCCCAACAUAGAGUCAACUGGUCUUCAGUGGGAUUGAAUCAGCUGAGCUAGACACAAAAUGUUUUUAGGUGGUUCACAGACCCCUGGUGUGGAGAAAGAGGACAAAGAAUGAAACUUCAGGGGAAUCCUAGCAUCUAAGGAAUAAACAGAGUAAAAUGGGAAAGAGACCGAGAAGGAAUAAUCAGAGAAGUAGGCGCAUCAGCAAGCUAUGGGCAGACAGUUUGGAAAAAAAAGAGAGGCAAGCUAACAUAAAAAGAAAGCAAGCGGGAUGGGUUCUGGAAACAAGGAUCAUUCAAUCUUACGAAGGUUGGAAAGCAGGGUGCAUGGACAAAGUAGCUUGAAAGGUGUUAGGGUCUAGGGAGGAUUCUUUCAGGGACAGGAAGAGAGAGCAGUGAUGGGUGAGAAUUGAGUCCAUCUGUAGACAUUGGGGGCCAAGACAAAGUGGAGAGACAUGUUGAAGAAUCAAGAGAGAUGGGGAGACAGAUAUAAGGCUUGAAUCCAGUAUCUAAUUCAAUUUCCACUUUCAAUAAAGAAAAUGAUCUAAUAAUACAAGAGCACAGUGUGCAUUUUACAGAAAACAGCAUAGUUAUCGCUUAUUUUGCUAGUCAAUUCUAAAAUGUUAAGAUAAUCGUAAUAAUCAUAUUGAUUCUUAUUUUCUAUUAAGAGUUCUCUGAUGUCCUUCCUGAGUGGUUUACGAAGUCACUACAACCUACAGCCAUUAUGAUCUCAUAUAAUAAUAUAUUCUGCAUCUUUAGUAGGCUUUAAGUGUGUGGAGUUUUUUAAUGGCUUAUUUGUAGAAAUGGUCAUAAAUUAUUUUCAUCCAAGUUACCCUUCAGAAACAAUCCACAUGAUGAUCAGAAGGUUUUUGCACCCUAUUUAUUACUGUUCUCUGGAAGUUCUCAAACUUUCUUAUGUGGUCAUUCUGGUUUCUUUUAACAUGCUUCCCUUACUCCAAAGGGAGAGGGGGAAGAGAGAAAAAA
rnacentral:lncRNA from 1 species